AAGGCUCCGGCGCCUCAGGAUGGGUCUGCGGCCUAUCAGGGUAGUAGUGGGUGUAACGUACCUACUAGCCUACGACGGGUACGGGUUGUGAGAGCAAGAGCCCGGAGAUGGAUUCUGAGACAUGAAUCCAGGCCCUACGGGGUGCAGCAGGCGCGAAAACUUUACAAUGCUGGCAACAGCGAUAAGGGAACCUCGAGUGCCAGGUUACAAAUCUGGCUGUCGUGAUGCCUAAAAAGCAUUACAUAGCAAGGGCCGGGCAAGACCGGUGCCAGCCGCCGCGGUAACACCGGCGGCUCGAGUGGUAACCGUUAUUAUUGGGUCUAAAGGGUCUGUAGCCGGCCGGAUAAGUCUCUUGGGAAAUCUGGCAGCUCAACUGUCAGGCUUUCAGGAGAUACUGUCUGGCUCGAGGCCGGGAGAGGUGAGAGGUACUUCAGGGGUAGGGGUGAAAUCUUGUAAUCCUUGAAGGACCACCAGUGGCGAAGGCGUCUCACCAGAACGGACCUGACGGCAAGGGACGAAAGCUAGGGGCACGAACCGGAUUAGAUACCCGGGUAGUCCUAGCCGUAAACGAUACUCGCUAGGUGUCGGCCACGGUGCGACCGUUGUCGGUGCCGUAGGGAAGCCGUGAAGCGAGCCACCUGGGAAGUACGGC
rnacentral:rRNA from 1 species